rnacentral:rRNA from 1 species
UGGCUCAGGAUGAACGCUGGCGGCGUGCCUAAUACAUGCAAGUCGAGCGAACGGACGAGAAGCUUGCUUCUCUGAUGUUAGCGGCGGACGGGUGAGUAACACGUGGAUAACCUACCUAUAAGACUGGGAUAACUUCGGGAAACCGGAGCUAAUACCGGAUAAUAUUUUGAACCGCAUGGUUCAAAAGUGAAAGACGGUCUUGCUGUCACUUAUAGAUGGAUCCGCGCUGCAUUAGCUAGUUGGUAAGGUAACGGCUUACCAAGGCAACGAUGCAUAGCCGACCUGAGAGGGUGAUCGGCCACACUGGAACUGAGACACGGUCCAGACUCCUACGGGAGGCAGCAGUAGGGAAUCUUCCGCAAUGGGCGAAAGCCUGACGGAGCAACGCCGCGUGAGUGAUGAAGGUCUUCGGAUCGUAAAACUCUGUUAUUAGGGAAGAACAUAUGUGUAAGUAACUGUGCACAUCUUGACGGUACCUAAUCAGAAAGCCACGGCUAACUACGUGCCAGCAGCCGCGGUAAUACGUAGGUGGCAAGCGUUAUCCGGAAUUAUUGGGCGUAAAGCGCGCGUAGGCGGUUUUUUAAGUCUGAUGUGAAAGCCCACGGCUCAACCGUGGAGGGUCAUUGGAAACUGGAAAACUUGAGUGCAGAAGAGGAAAGUGGAAUUCCAUGUGUAGCGGUGAAAUGCGCAGAGAUAUGGAGGAACACCAGUGGCGAAGGCGACUUUCUGGUCUGUAACUGACGCUGAUGUGCGAAAGCGUGGGGAUCAAACAGGAUUAGAUACCCUGGUAGUCCACGCCGUAAACGAUGAGUGCUAAGUGUUAGGGGGUUUCCGCCCCUUAGUGCUGCAGCUAACGCAUUAAGCACUCCGCCUGGGGAGUACGACCGCAAGGUUGAAACUCAAAGGAAUUGACGGGGACCCGCACAAGCGGUGGAGCAUGUGGUUUAAUUCGAAGCAACGCGAAGAACCUUACCAAAUCUUGACAUCCUUUGACAACUCUAGAGAUAGAGCUUUCCCCUUCGGGGGACAAAGUGACAGGUGGUGCAUGGUUGUCGUCAGCUCGUGUCGUGAGAUGUUGGGUUAAGUCCCGCAACGAGCGCAACCCUUAAGCUUAGUUGCCAUCAUUAAGUUGGGCACUCUAAGUUGACUGCCGGUGACAAACCGGAGGAAGGUGGGGAUGACGUCAAAUCAUCAUGCCCCUUAUGAUUUGGGCUACACACGUGCUACAAUGGACAAUACAAAGGGCAGCGAAACCGCGAGGUCAAGCAAAUCCCAUAAAGUUGUUCUCAGUUCGGAUUGUAGUCUGAAACUCGACUACAUGAAGCUGGAAUCGCUAGUAAUCGUAGAUCAGCAUGCUACGGUGAAUACGUUCCCGGGUCUUGUACACACCGCCCGUCACACCACGAGAGUUUGUAACACCCGAAGCCGGUGGAGUAACCUUUUAGGAGCUAGCCGUCGAAGGUGGGACAAAUGAUUGGGGUGAAGUCGUAACAAGGUAGCCGUAUCGGAAGGUGCGGCUGGAUCACCUCCUUU